ACGGCGAGUGAAGCGGCAACAGCUCAAAUUUGAAAUCUGGCUCUUUCAGGGUCCGAGUUGUAAUUUGCAGAGGGCGCUUUGGCGUUGGUAGCGGUCCAAGUUCUUUGGAACAGGACGUCACAGAGGGUGAGAAUCCCGUACGUGGUCGCUAACCUUCGCUGUGUAAAGCCCCUUCGACGAGUCGAGUUGUUUGGGAAUGCAGCUCUAAAUGGGAGGUAAAUUUCUUCUAAAGCUAAAUACUGGCCAGAGACCGAUAGCGCACAAGUAGAGUGAUCGAAAGAUGAAAAGCACUUUGGAAAGAGAGUCAAAUAGCACGUGAAAUUGUUGAAAGGGAAGCGCUUGCAGCCAGACUUGCCUGUAGUUGCUUAUCCGGACUUUUGUCCGGUGCACUCUUCUGCGGGCAGGCCAGCAUCAGUUUGGGCGGUUGGAUAAAGGUCUCUGUCAUGUACCUCUCUUCGGGGAGGCCUUAUAGGGGAGACGACAUGCAACCAGCCUGGACUGAGGUCCGCGCAUCUGCUAGGAUGCUGGCGUAAUGGCUGUAAGCGGCCCGUCUUGAAACACGGACCAAGGAGUCUAACAUCUAUGCGAGUGUUUGGGUGUCAAGCCCAGACGCGUAAUGAAAGUGAACGGAGGUGGGAACCCUUUGGGUGCACCAUCGACCGAUCCUGAUGUCUUCGGAUGGAUUUGAGUAAGAGCAUGGCUGUUGGGACCCGAAAGAUGGUGAACUAUGCUUGAAUAGGGUGAAGCCAGAGGAAACUCUGGUGGAGGCUCGCAGCGGUUCUGACGUGCAAAUCGAUCGUCAAAUUUGGGCAUAGGGGCGAAAGACUAAUCGAA
rnacentral:rRNA from 1 species